CGCAGGGCAGUAAAAUAUGAAUAUCAGCAGAGAUAAUGGGAUGCAGACACUCCAUCAUGACGGGUUUGGAGCAGAUAAGGGACGCAGAGUGCGAGAGAGAGUGUGUGUUAUUCUGCUGACUCAGCGGUGAGGUAAAGACUGCAAAUCACAGGACUGACGGGAAGAUAAAAACAUUACAUAAGAAGGAUGCUGACCGGCUCUGACUUCUGGGUGCUUUGAGGCAUCUCCCUCACCUUCUCAGCGAUGAAGUCGUGGACGCCGUUCAGCGCCUCCACCGUGCCCUGGAUCAGACACACGCGCUCUGUCGUUCCUGCGGACAAAAACAGGUCGGUGCAUGAGUUUCAAGUACUCGGCGGGGACACAUCGUUGAAGUUCAUCGCACUUCCAAAUCGCGUUUCCUGCAUUUUCCAAAAUGUUUCCACAGGCGGGCACAGACUCCCGUUUGACUCUGAAAACUAAGGAUCUUCUGUUUUGAUCGUUUUUUCAAAAAUGUGCAGUUGAAUGUGAAUGAAACUACUUCUCAACAAAUAACAACGGUGAGACAAGAAAAGACACAAGGAAAGUGUAAUGACUGCCGCUAGGAACUCCACCGCUGCAGCAGCCAAUCGUAACAGCAAGGAGAAGAAAUAACUCAAACUGAGCCGGAAAACGAGAAAACGGAACACACCGCGGGGGUUCUCAGCCUUCUGUAACUCAGGGCCCACUGAAGAUUGUUACAAAAAAUAACUUCCAAAGACCACAUUCACUAAUGAAUAAGAAAAAAAAACACAACGGGACAUUUCAAGAAAUAUUUCCAUCCAUUUUGUGUCACUGCGUCCGAGGGAAUGAGCAAAAACCAUGUUCGUCCAUAUUGUAUAUCAUACAGUAUUGGCUAGAAAACUAUUCAGAAACGUUUGUGCAUUCACAUUUCCACCUCUGAACACAUCAGAAACAUUCAGUUCAUGUUUCCAGGACGCCAUCCAACCAGGAAACACAUUCUGGUCCAAACAAACGGGCGGAAGUCUACUACACAAAUCAAAGGGAAUUAUCGGAAACAUAAAACCUAAGUAGCUAGUUUAUGAUUCUGCGUGCAGCAUCAUACUGUUUCCUGAUUUCUCCCUUUUACCCAGGAAAGUGUUGCCAGCGUGUUGACAACGUCGGAGACUGGAGAUGGAAUUAAUGUUCUUGUAGGAAGUCAGACAUUUUUUAACACUGCAGUCUGUAGUAGCACAACACAUUUAUUUUCUUUAUUUUAAUUAUUGUAGAUAUUGUAGAUAUUACUUGAUUUAAUCAAGGUCAUUUCACUGAUUUUAAUAUGUUAGUGAAUCCUACUUAUCUUUUUUAAUUAAUCUUAACUCAUACUUCCAUGGUUUACGAAAAGCUCAUUUCCUUCAUUUAAAGGUAACAUGAAAAAAGUAUGUACAUUUUAAUUCCCACAUUCAAUUUCCACAUCUGCGCAUGUGCGUCCACAAGCCCCGCCCCCUUUCCCUCCUCUAGGCGCGAAUAUCUUUCCCUUUGAAAGCUGUGCUGUAUCUCCUGCUGUUCCCAAAGCGCUCCGUUUUCAGUAAGUAUACAUUUUAAAUUCAUUGCUGUGUUGUAUUUUUACUUCAACAGGAUUUAGUUGCCACCAAAAAAAGUAGUUAGCUAACGUUAAGGCUGUCUGCUGUGUCUUAUCUAAUGAGGCCUACUGUUGCUAACGUUAGCUCAAUGUUGCCUACCAUUAAGGCUAGGUUAACAUUAGUAUAAUAAUUUAGGUGAAAAUAAUUAUCUAACUGGAUACUGCUAUCAAGAUAAAUGCGGGAUGCACCACAUGCUUUUCUUGUUUGACUUUCUCGUAAGUUUGUGGCCACUAAAAGUCUAACCUAACCAAUGUAAAUUGACUAGCCAGCUGUUAGCUACCUAAUGUUAAUGUACUUUAGCUAACGUCAAUAGCUUGUAGCUGAACCUUCCUCAGCUUAACGUUUGACGUUAUGGACCGACUUUAAGUAUAUAUUUUUAACUUAAACUUAUCAGUGCGGUGAUAUUAGGGGGGACACAAUCUAAAGUUAAACAUUGUUUGCUACUCUGGCCAAAUGGGUCAAUGUUACGGAAGCCAUUGUUAACGUUACCCCCUCGUGUUAAAGGUAAACAGAACAGGGUCCUAACGUUAUGGUAAGGAGGCCAAGCUGUUGCCUGAGUUGUCAUUCUUGCAAAACGAAACAACACGGAGUCCCGCGUCGAUCUGCUCAACUCUUUUCGGUGCCAGUAUCUUUUUCACUUUGUGGUAGCUUUUCCUCGGUUAUACACUAAUGAGCUAGCGUUAGCUUAAACAUGCAAAGGUAGCUCUGAAAGCACGGAGGAAAUGAAAAAUGUAAGCUGCAGCUGUUCUGUAGACGACAAGCAUGGUUGAUAUAUGACCACAGUCCGAAAUUAACUAACUAAGGUAGCUUACCCACAGUAUUUUGUCUGGUAAUAAUUCAGAAUUGACACUAAUCAUCAAAAUAUAUUUAUUUUAUUUAUUUUCUAUUCCAAGACAUUGUACAGGGGGUUAUACUUCACCUAUUUUGCAAAUAAUGAUGAUUGAUUUAAGAAACCUUUCUGCCUUUUGUUGGUCAUUUCUAUAGUAAUAAUGAGACUUUAUUUAAAUAUAAAAUAAGUUUUUUGGGAUCUGAUUUGAGUUGUUAUCUUAACCCAAAUUACUUAGGAUUAUUGAACAAUUACCUCUUUUUCUUAAAACAAAUUUACAAUUCGUGAAUAUUUUUUCGGAUAUCUGAUGUUGGUGUGACGUGGAAUAGGGCCUCACUCCUUGGGGACCUCAUAUUGUUUUGGUAAGUACAUUUAACAAACAACAUUUUCACAGGUAUGCUGAUCCCAGCAGUACUUCUCAGGAUUCUGUAACGGUGUGGUAUUGUGUGAUACCAAUGGCCUAACUCUUUGUAUUCUGUCGUUUUGUUUUUUUAAUAGAAGAUACAUGCUGACUUCCAACGCAUUACAACCAUCCCACUGGAAUCUACCUUCAUGGCACAGUUGGAGAGCCAUUUUGCCCAACUGACGGCUAUCUUCCAGAAGAAGGGUGGAGUUGCUGGCCAGAAGCUAGCUAAAUAUCUAAAGAUCUUGCAAGAGGAGACAACCUUAAAUCCUUAUGCUGCGUUCACACCAAAAGCGGUGCAAAUCUUUUGUGCGAGUAGAUCUCAUGCAAAGUCAAUGCACAGAUGUGAUUUUUUUGGCCGGGCGGCGCAAAAAAUCCGCCAGAGUUGAAAUAUUUCAAUUUGCGAAUAUUUGCAACGCUUUUGGUGUGAACGCAGCAUAAAGGCUCUUUGCAUCCACCUGGGUGAGGAUGAGGGGCAGCUCGGAUGAGGAUGAGAAACAGCUUGGAUGAGGAACAGCUCGUUCGGGAGUAUAUGGAUCAAAGGAGACGACAUCCUGAGAGACCUGCAAAAGUGGAGCUUGCACAUAUGUCAUCAACAAGGAGGAGAAAUGGGACAUUGAUGACGUUUACGGACUAAUCAUUCUCCACAACUGGAUCUGUGGCCCGAGCUUGUGCAAAGAUUCUGGGAGUCAUCUACGCUCUGAACAUGGCCAAAGAGCUAAGAUACUACUAUGAAUUCAUUCAGAAAGUGCUCUUUCUAAUGCAUGGUGAAAAUCUUUCCCCCCAAAUCCUCGGACUAAAGAACAAAGAACAACAUGUAUGCUGGACUCUAGGAAAUCUUCAGCUGCUCUUGUAAACUGAUGCUAUUAAAGGAUGGCAAAAGAAGAGUACGAGUCGACGUAAUUAAAAAAGCACCAGUCAAACAUCAAACUGGGGAAACGAUGUGGCACACUGAAAAUAUGAUGUUUGUUUAAUUUAUUCAGUUUAUUUUAUAUAGCCCAAUAUCACAAAUUACGAAUUUGCCUCAGAGGGCUUUACAAUCUGAACACAACAUUUAGUUGGAAUUACUUAAUACAUUUGAGUAAACUGAACAUGGGUUUAGUUGGGAUUACUUAAUAAAUUUGAGUUAACUCUACUCAAAAUAGUUGAGCAAAAAUUCUAAA